UGUUUUUUUUUAAAAAAAAAAACCCUAAAACUUUAAAGCUCUCCCCAUUUCCUCCAUUUUCUUCCAGUCGAAAGGGCCACCAUUUGUAUUCUCAACCGUGGCCGUGGCCAGUGGCCGGUGUUGCGGAAAAUGAGCUUUUAAGCUCCACUUUUGAAGCCCUUUUGAAGGCUAGACCCUCAGCAACUAAAGAAAAAGAGGAAAAGAGCUCUCAGUCCCUUUGUCGAACCCGAUUGCAACGACGGAGAAGGCCCUCCGACGGCGCGAUUAAGAGGAUUUAGGUACAGAAGGAGCUAGCUGGAGGAACGGAGGUGCACGAGGUGGCGCGCGUGGAGGUCUUGCGGCGUUGGUCUAGCUAGGGUUUGCUGAAAUGUUUUUUAGUUUUGGGCUGGAAUUUUGGGUUAGGGUUAGAUGAAUUUGGGUUGUUUUAUGUAAUUGGGUUGGGACUUUUGUUUGGGUCAAUGUAAUGGGCUAAGGGGUUAAGUUUAUUAGGUCUGUUGGGCCAUUAUAUUAUGGACAUUUGAACUUUACAUAAUAA